AGAAAAAAUGGAUUGCUUAUACAUGAAUGAUAGUCUGCUGACAGAUUUCUCAUCGGCAUCAGCAGAAUACAGCAAAUAAACAUCUUCUAACAGUUGAGAUGGAGAAAAGAAGAGUGGAGAAGUGAAGUAUCAAACUUGUAUGAGGUCACACAGCUAAAGACUACAGCUAGGAGAAUGUCCUCUAGCUCAGAAAUGACGUGAAACUCAAAAAGCAAUUCUAACAGUCUGCAUUUAUUCUUUUAGCUCAUUUGUGACCCAGAGAGUUUUAAUGUCUGUGAGUUCUAGAAUGUAUAAGAAAAAUUUACUCAGGCACUAUCCUUUGAAUUAGAACAUGGAACAACAAGGUCCUAUAAAUUGUGAUAAUUUAUCUUAUUUGAAAUCCCAGUUAUGCAGAGUGAUUUUUCAGUCACUUGCAUAAUUACAGAAACUUUGAGAAAUAUUAAGUAAUCGGUGGUGAUAUGACCAUGU
rnacentral:lncRNA from 10 species